AGCAUAUUCCUGCUCUGUGGUGGUUGUGAUAUCACCAGCAUAUGGCAUGCUGGCAUCUCUGCAAAGGGGCCAGAGGUAUGAGUUUUAGGAGAAAGCUUCAGAUACAAGAGCCAAACCUGGUAUUUUAAUGACAUAGUUGGCACAUCUACAUGUGUCAUUUACACUAUUCAGACAGUUGUGACUUUUGGGGGAAAACAAGGCUGUAAAUUUUAAUGCCUAUCUUUAAUCCCUAAUGAGAAUGGAGUUAAGUGGAAAUUAUAAAUUAGUGGCAUGGGGAGAUAUCAACAUAUUUGAUAAAUAUUUGAGUUUAAAACUUCCUAGAAUAACCUCCAUUGUGUUUUCUUCUCUAUCUAGGCAACUUGGCAUUAAGAACGGAAUGUUUUUUGGGCAUGCUAAACAACUAUGUCCUAAUCUUCAAGCUGUUCCAUACGAUUUUCAUGCAUAUAAGGAAGUCGCACGAACAUUGUAUGAAACAUUGGCAAGCUACACUCAUAACAUUGAAGCUGUCAGUUGUGAUGAAGCGCUGGUAGACAUUACCGAAAUCCUUGCAGAGACCAAACUUACUCCUGAUGAAUUUGCAAAUGCUGUUCGUAUGGAAAUCAAAGACCAGACGAAAUGUACUGCCUCUGUUGGAAUUGGUUCUAAUAUUCUCCUGGCUAGAAUGGCAACUAGAAAAGCAAAACCAGAUGGGCAGUACCACCUAAAACCAGAAGAAGUAGAUGAUUUUAUCAGAGGUCAGCUAGUUACUAAUCUA
rnacentral:sRNA from 1 species